rnacentral:rRNA from 1 species
AUUGAACGCUGGCGGCAGGCUUAACACAUGCAAGUCGAGCGGAGCGAGGGUGCUUGCACCUUAGCUUAGCGGCGGACGGGUGAGUAAUGCUUAGGAAUCUGCCUAUUAGUGGGGGACAACAUUCCGAAAGGAAUGCUAAUACCGCAUACGCCCUACGGGGGAAAGCAGGGGAUCUUCGGACCUUGCGCUAAUAGAUGAGCCUAAGUCGGAUUAGCUAGUUGGUGGGGUAAAGGCCUACCAAGGCGACGAUCUGUAGCGGGUCUGAGAGGAUGAUCCGCCACACUGGGACUGAGACACGGCCCAGACUCCUACGGGAGGUAGCAGUGGGGAAUAUUGGACAAUGGGCGGAAGCCUGAUCCAGCCAUGCCGCGUGCGUGAAGAAGGCCUUUUGGUUGUAAAGCACUUUAAGCGAGGAGGAGGCUCUUAAGGUUAAUACCCUUGAUGAGUGGACGUUACUCGCAGAAUAAGCACCGGCUAACUCUGUGCCAGCCGCCGCAGUAAGAC